GCCGGGCGAGGUGGCUCACGCCUGUAAUCCCAGCACUUUGGGAGGCCGAGGCAGGUGGAUCACCUGAGGUCAGGAGUUCAAGACCAGCCUGACCAACAUGGAGAAACCCUGUCUCUA
rnacentral:SRP_RNA from 1 species